CACGAACGCUGGCGGCAGGCUUAACACAUGCAAGUCGAGCGCCCCGCAAGGGGAGCGGCAGACGGGUGAGUAACGCGUGGGAAUCUACCCAUCUCUACGGAAUAACGCAUGGAAACGUGUGCUAAUACCGUAUACGUCCUUCGGGAGAAAGAUUUAUCGGAGAUGGAUGAGCCCGCGUUGGAUUAGCUAGUUGGUGGGGUAAAGGCCUACCAAGGCGACGAUCCAUAGCUGGUCUGAGAGGAUGAUCAGCCACACUGGGACUGAGACACGGCCCAGACUCCUACGGGAGGCAGCAGUGGGGAAUAUUGGACAAUGGGCGCAAGCCUGAUCCAGCCAUGCCGCGUGAGUGAUGAAGGCCCUAGGGUUGUAAAGCUCUUUCACCGGUGAAGAUAAUGACGGUAACCGGAGAAGAAGCCCCGGCUAACUUCGUGCCAGCAGCCGCCGUAA
rnacentral:rRNA from 1 species